GCAGAAGAAGAAGAAGAAGAAGAAGAAGAGGAGGACGACGGUUAUUUCUCAACCAUCCUCUGUUCAGAAUAAAAAGUCUUAUUGUGAAACAUCCGAUGCCGACCAGUUCCUGGAGAACAUCUCCUGCCUCCUCCUGAAGCGUGUGAGACCGUUCAUUAUGCGUCUGCAAAUAAGCACACUGUGUCCUGAAACGACGCCGAAAGGACAGAUAAACACACACUAUCCUUCGUAUUCCUUCCAAAAAAAAAAAAAGAAGAAGAAGAAGACGAUGUGAAUCUUUGUGCAACUGAGCAGUUCGUGGAAAGGGCUCAGAGCAACUGUGCCAUGAGUUGUACUGUCUUUAAUUUAGGCUACAGGACUAAGCUCCCAAAAUGAAGGGCGAGCUCUGCGCAGUGAUAGAUGUCGGGGAAAAAAAAAGAAAAGAAGAAGAAGAAGAAGAAGAAAAAAAGCCCAGAAAACAAGGUCUCAUCUUGCUGUCAGCUGUGUGGCAGUACAAGUUGUUGACCCCCCCCCCCCCGUAUGUGGCUUUCAGUCGACAGCAGCUGUGGAUCCUCUCCUGACGCUCCUGUCGCCCUCCACACCAGUGUUUAAACUCGGGCCACCCUGAGAAGAAUCAGCUGUCGGCUUGUUUAGGCUGAGGGAGUGCUGAAGAUGAGAAUGACUUGGUGUGAUGAUGGCCGGCCCCUGGCUCUGUGCAUCACUGUGCCCUCUCUUCCAACGGGCUGUUCAGCGGGGGGAUUUCAGUGGGUGUUUCUAUUGCUAGUGGAACUCGAGUGGGAUUCACUGGCUAAUUUAAGACGUUCCAUGUGAUAUUACAAAGCUCAACAGCUCUUUCCUCUCUUCUUUUCUCUUCUAGUCCGACGCUCUCUUCUGACUCUGGAGUGUAAACCUAGCUAGAACGGAACAAUAGGCAAUUGAGCAAGUACUUAAUCAGCAGAAUAAUAACCUCUCUGCACUAUUUUAACAAUCAAUCUAAUGUUUUAAAUCAAGAUACAAAACAUUACGUAGUCCUAGCUUUUUAAGGAGUUGCUGCUUUUUCAGUGAUUUAUGUGAUUGUCUGGACUGCAGAGCAAACAAUUUUAAGACGUCGCUUUGGCUUUAGCAAGUUCUAAUGGUCAUUUUCAUUAUUUUCAUCAUCUUUGGAGAAAAUAAUCCUCAAAUUAACGAGGAGAAUGGAAAAUAACGGUUAGCUGGCAGCCCUGAACCUAGCAAACUCAAGUUUUUUGUAAUAUACUCCUGAUUUCCAACCAAUUUGACCCAACAUGGAUGUUUAUUUUUUUAGGAGGGGACUUCAUC